CCUGGUGCAGGUAUAAGGAUCUGGGUCUGUUAAGAUCUGAGGAGGUAAGAUCUGGGACAGUAUUAAGGAUCUGGGAAUCUCCAUGUCUGAGAAGGUAGGAUCUGGUAUACAUAUAAGGAUGAAGGAGGUAGGAUCUGGUGCAGGUAUAAGGAUCUGGGUCGAUCAAUAUCUGAGGAGGUGUGAUCUGGCCUUGGUAUGAUGAUCUGUGUCUUUCAAUGUCCUAGGUGGUAGGAUCUGGCCCUGGUAUGAGGGUCUGAGUCUGUCAAUAUCUGAAGAGGUAGGAAUCUGGUACAGAUAUGAGGAUCUGCGUCUGUCAGUGUGUGAGAGGUAGGACCUGGCUCUGAUAUGAGGAUCUGUGUGGGUCUGUCAAUGUCUGAGGAAGUAGGAAUCGUACAAGUAAGAGGAUCUGGGUCUAUCUAUGUCUGAGGAGGUAGAAUGCGCCAUGAGUAUGAAGAUCUGAGUCUGUCCACGUCUGCAGAGGUAGGAUCUGGUGCAGGUAUAAGGAUCUGGAUCUUACAAUGUCUGAAAAGGUAGGAUCUGGCCUUGGUAUGAGGAUCUGGGUCUGUCAAUGUCUGAGGAGGUAGGAAUCUGGUACAGGUAUGAGGAUCUGUGUCUGUCAAUGUCUGAGGAGGUAGGAAUCUGGUACAGGUACGAGGAUCUAGGUCUGUAUCUGAGAAGGUAGGAUCUGGGUGCGGGUAUAUGGAUCUGGAUCUGGCAGUAUCUGAGGAGGUAGGAUCUGGCCCUGGUAUCAGGAUCUGAGUCUGUCCAUGUCUGAGGAGGUAGGAUCUGGUACAGGUGUGAGGAUCUGGGUCUCUCCAUGUCUGAGGAGGUAGGAUCUGGUACAGGUAUGAGGAUCUGGGUCUCUCCAUGUCUGAGGAGGUAGGAUCUGGUACAGGUGUGAGGAUCUGGGUCCAUCCAUGUCUGAGGAGAUAGGAUCUGGUAUAGGUGUGAGGAUCUGGGUCUCCCCAUGUCUGAGCAGGUAGGAUCUGGCCCUGGUGUGAGGAUCUGGGUCUGUCCAUGUCUGAGAAGGUAGGAUCUGGCCCUGGUAUGAGGCUUGUGAGGAUCUGGGCUCUCCAUGUCUGAGGAGGUAGGAUCUGGUACCGGUGUGAGGAUCUGGGUCUCUCAGUGUCUGAGGAGGUAGGAUCUGGUACUGGUGUGAGGAUCUGGGUCUCUCCAUGUCUGAGGAGGUAGGAUCUGGCCCUGGUAUGAGGCUUGUGAGGAUCUGGUCUCUCCAUGUCUCAGGAGGUAGGAUCUGGUACAGGUAUGAGGAUCUGGGUCUCUCCAUGUCCGAGGAGGUAGGAUCUGGUACAGGUGUGAGGAUCUGGGUCUCCCCAUGUCUGAGCAGGUAGGAUCUGGCCCUGGUAUAAGGCUUGUGAGGAUCUGGUCUCUCCAUGUCUGAGGAGGUAGGAUCUGGAUCUUGGUCUCUCCAUGUCUGAGAAGGUAGGACCUGGCCCUGGUAUGAGUCUUAUGAGAAUUUGGGUCUGUCAGCAUCUGAGGAGGUAGGAUCUGGGUGCGGGUAUAUGGAUCUGGAUCUGUCAGUAUCUGAGGAGGUAGGAUCUGACCCUGGUAUCAGGAUCUGAGUCUGUCCAUGUCUGAGGAGGUAGGAUCUGGUACAGGUGUGAGGAUCUGGGUCUGUCAGUGUCUGAGGAGGUAGGAUCUGGUACAGGUGUGAGGAUCUGGGUCUCUCCAUGUCUGAGGAGGUAGGAUCUGUUACAGGUGUGAGGAUCUGGUUCCAUCCAUGUCUGAGGAGGUAGGAUCUGGUACAGGUGUGAGGAUCUGGGUCUCCCCAUGUCUGAGCAGGUAGGAUCUGGCCCUGGUAGGAGGCUUGUGAGGAUCUGGUCUCUCCAUGUCUCAGGAGGUAGGAUCUGGUACAGGUGUGAGGAUCUCUGUCUCUCCAUGUCUGAGGAGGUAGGAUCUGGUAUAGUUUUGAGGAUCUGGGUCUCCCCAUGUCUGAGGAGGUAGGAUCUGGUACAGGUGUGAGGAUCUGGGUCUGUCAAUGUCUGAGGAGGUAGGAUCUGGUACAGGUGUGAGGAUCUGGGUCUGUCAAUGUCUGAGGAGGUAGGAUCUGGUACAGGUGUGAGGAUCUGGGUCUCUCCAUGUCUGGGAAGGCAGGAUCUGGCCCUGGUAUUAGGCUUGUGAGGAUCUGGGCUCUCCCUGUCUGAGGAGGUAGGAUCUGGUACAGGUGUGAGGAUCUCGGUCUCUCCAUGUCUGAGGAGGUAGGAUCUGGUAUAGGUGUGAGGAUCUGGGUCCAUCCAUGUCUGAGGAGGUAGGAUCUGGUACAAGUGUGAGGAUCUGGGUCUCUCAUGUCCGAGGAGGUAGGAUCUGGUACAGGUGUGAGGAUCUGUGUCUGUCAGUGUCUGAGAAGGUAGGAUCUGGCCCUGGUAUGAGGCUUGUGAGGAUCUGGUCUCUCCAUGUCCAAGGAGGUAGGAUCUGGUAUAGGUGUGAGGAUCUGGGUCUCUCCAUGUCCGAGGAGGUAGGAUCUGGCAUGAGUAUGAGGAUCUGGCUCUGACGAUGUCUGAGGAGGUAGAAUCUGUUGCAGAUGUAAGGAUCUGGGUCUUUCAAUGUCAGAGAAGGUAGGACCUUGCCCUGGUAUGAGGAUCUGGGUCUUUCAAUAUCUGAGGAGGUAAUCUGGUACAGGUAUGAGGAUCUGGGUGUCUUCAUGUCUGAGGAGGUAGGAAUCUGUUAGAGGCAUGAGGAUCUGGGUCUGUCAAUCUGUGAGGGGGUAGGAUCUGGCCCUGGUAUGAGGAACUGGUUCUGUCAAUGUCUGAGAAGGUAGGAUCUGGCCCUGGUAUGAGGCUUAUGAGGAUCUGGGUCUGUCAGAAUCUGAGGAGGUAGUAUCUGCGUGUGGGUAUAAGGAUCUGGAUCUGUCAUUAUCUUAGGAGGUAAGAUCUGGCCCUGCUAUCAGGAUCUGAGUCUGUCAGUGUCUGAGGAGGAAGGAUCUGGCGCACAUAUAAGAAUCUAGGUAUUUCAGUGUCUGGGAAGGUAAGAUCUGGCCCUGGUUUGAGGAUCUGGGUCUUUCAUCUGAGGAGAUAGGAAUCAGGUACAGAUAUGAGGAUCUGAGUCUCUUCAUGUCUGAGGAGUAAGGAAUCUGUUACUGGCAUGAGGAUCUGGAUCUGUCAGUGUCUGAGGAGGCAGGACCUGGCACUGGUAUGUGGGUCUGGGUCUAUCCAUGUCUGAGGAGGUAGGAUCUGGCUCUGUCGAUGUCUGUGGAGGUAGGAUCUGGCACAGAUACAAGGAUCUGGGCUUUACAAUUUCUGCGAACAUAGGAUCUGGCCUUGGUAUGAGGAUCUGGGUCUGUCAGUAUCUGAGGAGUUACAAAUCUAGUACAGGUAUGAAAAUCUGGGUCUCUCCUGUCUGAGGAGUUAGGAAUCUGCUACAGGUGUGACGAUCUGGGUGUCUCCAUGUCUGAGGAGGUAGGAUCUGGUACGGCUGUGAGGAUCUGGGUCUGUCAGUGUCUGAGGAGGUAGGAUCUGGUACAAGUGUGAGGAUCUGGGUCUCUCAUGUCUGAGGAGGUAGGAUUUGGCCCUGGUAUGAGGAUCUGGGUCUCUCCAUGUCUGAGAAGGUAGGAUCUUGCCCUGGUAUGAGGCUUGUGAGGUUUUGGGUCUGUCAGCAUCUGAGGAGGUAGGAUCUGGGUAUGGGUAUAAGGAUCUGGAUCUGUCAGUAUCUGAGGAGGUAGGAUCUGGCCCUGGUAUCAGGACCUGAGUCUGUCAGUGUCUGGGGAGGUAGGAUCUGGUACAGGUGUGAGGAUCUGGGUCUCUCCAUGUCUGAGGAGGUAGGAUCUGGUAUAGGUAUUAGGAUCUGGGUCUGUCCGUGUCUGAGGAGGUAAGAUUUGGCAGAGAUAUUAGGAUCUGGGUCUGUCUGUGUUUGAGGAGGUAAGAUUUGGCGGAGAUAUUAGGAUCUGAGUCUGUCCAUGUCUGAGGAGGUAAAAUUUGGUUCAGGUAUGACGAUCUGGGUCUGUCCAUGUCUGAGGAGGUAGGACCUGGCCCUGGCAUGAGGAUCUGGGUCUCGCCAUGUCUGAAGAGGUAGGAUCUGGCAUGAGUAUGAGGAUCUGGCUCUUACCAUGUCUGGAGAGGGAGGAUCUGGCACAGAUAUAAGGAUCUGGGUCUUUCAAUGUCUGUGAAGGUAAGAUCUGGCCUUGGCAUGGGGAUCUGGGUCUGUCAGUGUCAGAGGAGGUAUUAAUCUAGUACAGGUAUGAGGAUCUGGGUCUCUCCAUGUCUGAGGAGGUAGGAUCUGGUACAGGUGUGAGGAUCUGGGUUUGUCUAUGUCUGAGGAGGUAGGACCUGGUAUAGGUGUGAGGAUCUGGGUCCCUCCAUGUCUGAGAAGGUAGGAUCUGGCCCUGGUAUGAGGCUUGUGAGGAUCUGGGUCUGUCAGUAUCUGAGGACGUAGGAUCUGGCCCUGGUAUCGGGAUCUGAGUCUGUCAGUGUCUGAGGAGGUAGGAUCUGGGAUAGCUGUGAGAAUUUGAUUCUGUCUAUGUCUGAGGACAUAGGAAUCUGGUACAGAUAUGAGGAUCUCGGUCUGUUCACGUCUUAGGAGGUAGGAUCUGGUGCAGGUAUGAGGAUCUGGGUCUCUCCAUGUCUGAGGAGGUAGGAUCUGGUACAGAGAUGAGGAUCUGGGUCUGCUCAUGUCUUAGGAGGUAGAAUCUGGUGCAGGUAUGAGGAUCUGGGUCUGUCCAUGUCUGAGGAGGUAGGAUCUGGUACAGAUAUGAGGAUCUGGGUCUGUUCAUGUCUUAGGAGGUAGGAUCUGGUGCAGGUAUGAGGAUCUAGGUUUUCAGUGUCUGAGAAGGUAGGAUCUGGCCCUGUAUGAGGAUCUGGGUCUUUCAGUAUCUGAGGAGGUAGGAAUCUGGUACAGAUAUGGGGAUCUGGGUCUUUCCAUGACUAAGGAGGUACGAAUUUGUUUGAGGCAUGAGGAUCUGGGUCUGUCACUGUGUGAGGAGGUAAGAUCUGGCCUGAGUGUGAGGAUCUCAGACUGUUAAUGUGUGAGGAGGUAGAACCUGGCCCUUGUAUGAGGAUCUGGGUCUGUCCAUGUCUGAGGAGGUAGGAAUCUGUUACAGGCAUGAGGAUUUGGGUCUGUCAAUGUCUGAGGAGGUAGGAUCUGGCCCUGGUAUGAGGAUCUGGCUCUCUCCAUGUCU